GAGAAAAGACCAAAGAAGAACUAGAAGUCAGGCAGAAAGGUGGAAUCUUGUGGGUUCUUAGACCUGGAAGACAGAAGGCCAGGUGUGAGGUGUGAGUAGGGCUGGAGCCCUCUGCCUGCAUCAUGGAGGGUUUAUCCUCAGCCUCAGGCCUGGCUCCAAGUUAGCAAUCUCCUUGUCUUUGGUGGCAGACAGUGUCACAGUAGUCUCCAUGAGAUGUUCUUUCUGUGUUUAUCUGUCCAAAUUGCCCCUUUUCCAUUUUUUUUUUCAAAAAUAGAUAAAUUUUUACUGAGCCUCUUAGUUUCCGACAUGAGGCGAUAGGAAAGACGGUGCUACUUUGCAGCAUUUUACACAGAUCUAGAGACAUACUUUCAGCGCCCAGAGCUUAGGAGGACUUCUGAUUCCCAGAAGUUGGAUCAAGCACAGUGGUGUUGACUCUUUGGGUCUUCCCCCUGACUCUUCCCUUAAUAUAGUAGCAAGCUCUAACUAGUCCUCCGGGGAUCUGGGCUGAUUUUACCACUCUGUCUGAUAUUGUAGGUCCAAAGUCCUGCCAUUCCAAUCAAUAGCAGCUAAUUCCCCUUCAAAAGUGAGUUGUGUUGGUAGAAUCUUGGCAUCAAGUCGUCCUCUCCCUCUCUCCAUUGCCCAUUGUGGCUCACUCUCCAGCCCAGCCUUCCCCCCUCCCACAUACACCCUGUGCCCUCCUGUUCACAGGCUCGCCAUGCCAACAUCUGAUGGCCUCUGAUAAUGCUGCCUGCUCCAACCUAAAGACAAGGACCUGGUGUCUUUGAACUUGUUUGGAUAUUGGUAUCAACACCAGCCACUUCCUGUGACAUUCCUGUAUGCACAGCAAACAUCUCUCUCUCAGGGACCCACUGGCUGUAUCUUCCCUUUUUAGAUUUUUGCCUGUUGGUUGGACCUUUCCCAUUUCUUUUGGUUUACCUUCAUUAAGACAUGCUUUUUCACCCGCUGAACAUCGAAUGCUUUGAAUAUACUCACAACGAAUGCUUGCUUU
rnacentral:lncRNA from 1 species